rnacentral:rRNA from 1 species
AUUGAACGCUGGCGGCAGGCCUAACACAUGCAAGUCGAACGAGUGGCGGACGGGUGAGUAAUGUCUGGGUAACUGCCCGAUGGAGGGGGAUAACUACUGGAAACGGUAGCUAAUACCGCGUACCAUCGGAUGUGCCCAGAUGGGCUGAGCUGGGUGGUGGGGUAAAGGCCUACCAAGGCGACGAUCCGUAACUGGUCUGGGAGGAUGAUCAGUCACACUGGAACUGAGACACGGUCCAGACGCCUACGGGAGGCAGCAGUGGGGAAUAUUGUACAAUGGGCGCAAGCCUGAUGCAGCCAUGCCGCGUGGAGUAAGAAGUCCUUCGGGUUGUAAAGGACUUUCAGCGGGGAGGCGUUACCCGCAGAAGAAGCACCGGCUAACUCCGUGCCAGCAGCCGCGGUAAUAC